AAUUCUCAACCUUUUCAAUCUUUUAUUGGUUGAAAUUAGGCUUGGAUGUGGGAGUCUUUUGCUGGCUUCUUUAAGAGGUUGGCUCUCCUUAAAUUUAUUAGCGGGACCUUUGUUGCCCUCAGCGCUUAGUGUGAUAAUUAUCUACGCUAUCUGCUGAAAGCAACUGAAAAAAAAUGGGGUUUACAGCUUCUAAUCGUCUUUUGUAGACAAUUUAUAUGACA
rnacentral:misc_RNA from 1 species